GAUGAACGCUGGCGGCGUGCCUAAUACAUGCAAGUCGAGCGAACGGACGAGAAGCUUGCUUCUCUGAUGUUAGCGGCGGACGGGUGAGUAACACGUGGAUAACCUACCUAUAAGACUGGGAUAACUUCGGGAAACCGGAGCUAAUACCGGAUAAUAUUUUGAACCGCAUGGUUCAAAAGUGAAAGACGGUCUUGCUGUCACUUAUAGAUGGAUCCGCGCUGCAUUAGCUAGUUGGUAAGGUAACGGCUUACCAAGGCAACGAUGCAUAGCCGACCUGAGAGGGUGAUCGGCCACACUGGAACUGAGACACGGUCCAGACUCCUACGGGAGGCAGCAGUAGGGAAUCUUCCGCAAUGGGCGAGAGCCUGACGGAGCAACGCCGCGUGAGUGAUGAAGGUCUUCGGAUCGUAAAACUCUGUUAUUAGGGAAGAACAUAUGUGUAAGUAACUGUGCACAUCUUGACGGUACCUAAUCAGAAAGCCACGGCUAACUACGUGCCAGCAGCCGCGGUAAUACGUAAGUGGCAAGCGUUAUCCGGAAUUAUUGGGCGUAAAGCGCGCGUAGCGGUUUUUUAAGUCUGAUGUGAAAGCCCACGGCUCAACCGUGGAGGGUCAUUGGAAACUGGAAAACUUGAGUGCAGAAGAGGAAAGUGGAAUUCCAUGUGUAGCGGUGAAAUGCGCAGAGAUAUGGAGGAACACCAGUGGCGAAGGCGACUUUCUGGUCUGUAACUGACGCUGAUGUGCGAAAGCGUGGGGAUCAAACAGGAUUAGAUACCCUGGUAGUCCACGCCGUAAACGAUGAGUGCUAAGUGUUAGGGGGUUUCCGCCCCUUAGUGCUGCAGCUAACGCAUUAAGCACUCCGCCUGGGGAGUACGACCGCAAGGUUGAAACUCAAAGGAAUUGACGGGGACCCGCACAAGCGGUGGAGCAUGUGGUUUAAUUCGAAGCAACGCGAAGAACCUUACCAAAUCUUGACAUCCUUUGACAACUCUAGAGAUAGAGCCUUCCCCUUCGGGGGACAAAGUGACAGGUGGUGCAUGGUUGUCGUCAGCUCGUGUCGUGAGAUGUUGGGUUAAGUCCCGCAACGAGCGCAACCCUUAAGCUUAGUUGCCAUCAUUAAGUUGGGCACUCUAAGUUGACUGCCGGUGACAAACCGGAGGAAGGUGGGGAUGACGUCAAAUCAUCAUGCCCCUUAUGAUUUGGGCUACACACGUGCUACAAUGGACAAUACAAAGGGCAGCGAAACCGCGAGGUCAAGCAAAUCCCAUAAAGUUGUUCUCAGUUCGGAUUGUAGUCUGCAACUCGACUACAUGAAGCUGGAAUCGCUAGUAAUCGUAGAUCAGCAUGCUACGGUGAAUACGUUCCCGGGUCU
rnacentral:rRNA from 1 species